rnacentral:rRNA from 1 species
AUACGUAGGGUGCGAGCGUUGUCCGGAAUUACUGGGCGUAAAGAGCUCGUAGGUGGUUUGUCGCGUCGUCUGUGAAAUUCCGGGGCUUAACUCCGGGCGUGCAGGCGAUACGGGCAUAACUUGAGUACUGUAGGGGAGACUGGAAUUCCUGGUGUAGCGGUGAAAUGCGCAGAUAUCAGGAGGAACACCGGUGGCGAAGGCGGGUUUCUGGGCAGUAACUGACGCUGAGGAGCGAAAGCAUGGGUAGCGAACAGGAUUAGAUACCCUGGUAGUCCAUGCCGUAAACGGUGGGCGCUAGGUGUAGGGGUCUUCCACGACUUCUGUGCCGUAGCUAACGCAUUAAGCGCCCCGCCUGGGGAGUACGGCCGCAAGGCUAAAACUCAAAUGAAUUGACGGGG